rnacentral:rRNA from 1 species
CUUGCUUCUCUUGAGAGCGGCGGACGGGUGAGUAWUGCCUAGGAAUCUGCCUGGUAGUGGGGGAUAACGCUCGGAAACGGACGCUAAUACCGCAUACGUCCUACGGGAGAAAGCAGGGGACCUUCGGGCCUUGCGCUAUCAGAUGAGCCUAGGUCGGAUUAGCUAGUUGGUGAGGUAAUGGCUCACCAAGGCGACGAUCCGUAACUGGUCUGAGAGGAUGAUCAGUCACACUGGAACUGAGACACGGUCCAGACUCCUACGGGAGGCAGCAGUGGGGAAUAUUGGACAAUGGGCGAAAGCCUGAUCCAGCCAUGCCGCGUGUGUGAAGAAGGUCUUCGGAUUGUAAAGCACUUUAAGUUGGGAGGAAGGGCAUUAACCUAAUACGUUGGUGUCUUGACGUUACCGACAGAAUAAGCACCGGCUAACUCUGUGCCAGCAGCCGCGGUAAUACAGAGGGUGCAAGCGUUAAUCGGAAUUACUGGGCGUAAAGCGCGCGUAGGUGGUUUGUUAAGUUGGAUGUGAAAUCCCCGGGCUCAACCUGGGAACUGCAUUCAAAACUGACAAGCUAGAGUAUGGUAGAGGGUGGUGGAAUUUCCUGUGUAGCGGUGAAAUGCGUAGAUAUAGGAAGGAACACCAGUGGCGAAGGCGACCACCUGGACUGAUACUGACACUGAGGUGCGAAA